UACGUAGGGACCAAGCGUUGUUCGGAUUUACUGGGCGUAAAGGGCGCGUAGGCGGCGUGACAAGUCACUUGUGAAAUCUCCGGGCUUAACUCGGAACGGUCAAGUGAUACUGUUGUGCUAGAGUACAGAAGGGGCAAUCGGAAUUCUUGGUGUAGCGGUGAAAUGCGUAGAUAUCAGGAGGAACACCGGUGGCGAAGGCGGGUCUCUGGGCCGAUACUGACGCUGGAGGAGCGAAAGCGUGGGGAGCGAACAGG
rnacentral:rRNA from 1 species